UACGUAGGCAGCAAGCGUUGUUCGGAAUUACUGGGCGUAAAGAGUGCGUAGGCGGUGCUCUAAGUCUGUUGUGAAAUCUCCCGGCUUAACUGGGAGGGUGCGGCGGAAACUGGAGUGCUUGAGGGUGGGAGAGGUAAGCGGAAUUCCUGGUGUAGCGGUGAAAUGCGCAGAUAUCAGGAGGAACACCGGUGGCGAAGGCAGCCCCCUGGGCUGAGAUUGACGCUCAGGCACGAAAGCGUGGGGAGCAAACAGG
rnacentral:rRNA from 1 species